GACGAACCGUGCGAACGUUGUUCGGAAUCACUGGGCUUAAAGGGCGCGUAGGCGGGCCGCCGCGUCCGGGGGUGAAAUCCUCCCGCUCAACGGGAGAACGGCCUCGGAUACGGGCGGCCUGGAGGCGGGUAGGGGGCACGCGGAACUGUGGGUGGAGCGGUGAAAUGCGUUGAGAUCCACAGGAACUCCGGUGGCGGAAGGCGGCGUGCUGGACCCGUCCUGACGCUGAGGCGCGAAAGCGUGGGGGAGCAAACAGG
rnacentral:rRNA from 1 species